GGAUUUGAGGUGAGCUGGCCCUGGCACCUGUCACCACAUGGAUCACCGGCUGAUUCGGCUGCUCUGGCUGCUGGGUGUGUGCCCCUUGCCCCCUCACGCUCCACGUGUAUCCCUCCUGAAGCUGCACUCAGUGAAGAGGACCAACGUCCCCAUACAGGAAGACCAGAGGACUUCUUCAGCUGAGAGUAUAGGAGUAGCUGCGCUCCUGGCCAGAACUCCACCUGCGUCCUUAGGGCCAAACAGCUAGAAGAGAGGAUUUUGCAUGUUCCCUACUUCUAUAGAAAUCCUUACACUGGGUCUCU
ensembl:misc_RNA 7SK 7SK RNA